rnacentral:rRNA from 1 species
GGCCCUUCGUUUGGUGUUAAAGAUGGAGGGUCUGGCCUGCCCAGUGACGGUUUUGUUAAACGGCCGCGGUAUUUUAACCGUGCGAAGGUAGCGUAAUAAUUUGCCUAUUAAUUGUGGGCUAGUAUGAACGGCUUGACGAGGGUGGGACUGUCUCUUGGUGGAGUAUAUGGAAUUUAAUUUUUAGGUGAAGAGGCCUAAAUAUAAAUAAGGGACGAUAAGACCCCGUCGAGCUUUAGCGGAGCUUUGAGGAGGAGACAGAAGUAGUUUAUAUAUUCUGUUGUAUCGAAGUGAAUCUUUGGUUGGGGCGAUCGGAAAGCAUGGAAAACCUUUUGUUGAGAGUACGGGUUUAUGGAUUAAUGAUCUGGCUUAUGUGUGCAGAUAGGAAGAACAAGUUACCGCGGGGAUAACAGCGUAAUCCUUUUGGAGAGCUCUUAUUGAGAAAAGGGUUUGCGACCUCGAUGUUGGACUAAGAUAACCAAAUGGUGUAGCAGCUUUUUAGGGUUGGUCUGUUCGACCAUUAAAAUCUUACA